UACGUAGGUGGCAAGCGUUGUCCGGAUUUAUUGGGUUUAAAGGGUGCGUAGGCGGUCUAUUAAGUCAGCGGUGAAAUACUCCAGCUUAACUGGAGGGGUGCCAUUGAUACUGAUGGACUUGAGUCAAGUCGAGGUAGGCGGAAUUGACGGUGUAGCGGUGAAAUGCAUAGAUACAAUCAAGAACACCGAUUGCGUAGGCAGCUAACUAGGCUGUAACUGACGCUGAGGCACGAAAGCGUGGGGAGCGAACAGG
rnacentral:rRNA from 1 species